GGGGCUGCCUGGUAUUGACGGGAAAGUGUAGUCGCUUCGUAAGCAUGCCGGGGCAUGGUUGGUUACCCCGUAAAACAUAACGACCAAACAACAAUUGGCAACACACAGUUCGCCAUGGCUGCCUAAUUCUAGAGAAUUAGAAAGCCUUUGUGCCGCGUGAGGGCUGCGCUCAGCGCCCCCCUCUUUGCCUUGAUGCCUGCUACACAGGCCGCCGCGCAUCAUCAAAAAAGCAGGAUUGCCCGACGGGAUGUCUCGACCGAAGGGUGAAAUUUAGAGGAUAAGGUGCGGAUCGGCCGGUCACGGAGCCAAUCCCGCACUCGAAAACCUAAUCCGUGAAUAAGCAUGUAGAAAGCGUUGUGACGCUUUGUCCGGACGCGAGUUCGACUCUCGCCAGCUCCACAA
rnacentral:tmRNA from 1 species